rnacentral:rRNA from 1 species
GAGUUUGAUCCUGGCUCAGGAUGAACGCUAGCGGCAGGCCUAACACAUGCAAGUCGAGGGGUAACAUGAAUUGCUUGCAAUUUGAUGACGACCGGCGCACGGGUGCGCACCGCGUAUGGAACCUACCUUUUACAGGGGGAUAGCCCAGGGAAACUUGGAUUAAUACCCCGUAGUACCUUUUGUAGCAUUACAAGAUGGUUAAAGACUUCGGUCGGUAGAAGAUGGCCAUGCGUCCCAUUAGUUAGUUGGUAAGGUAACGGCUUACCAAGACAGCGAUGGGCAGGGGCCCUGAGAGGGGGAUCCCCCACACUGGUACUGAGACACGGACCAGACUCCUACGGGAGGCAGCAGUGAGGAAUAUUGGACAAUGGAGGAGACUCUGAUCCAGCCAUGCCGCGUGCAGGAAGAAUGCCCUAUGGGUAGUAAACUGCUUUUAUACGGGUAGAAAAAGGGGUACGUGUACCCCACUGACGGUACCGUAAGAAUAAGGACCGGCUAACUCCGUGCCAGCAGCCGCGGUAAUACGGAGGGUCCGAGCGUUAUCCGGAAUUAUUGGGUUUAAAGGGUCCGUAGGCGGGCGAUUAAGUCAGUGGUGAAAGUCUGCAGCUCAACUGUAGAACUGCCUUUGAUACUGAUCGUCUUGAGUUAUAGUGAAGUUGCCGGAAUAUGUAGUGUAGCGGUGAAAUGCAUAGAUAUUACAUAGAACACCGAUUGCGAAGGCAGGUGACUAACUAUAUACCGACGCUGAUGGACGAAAGCGUGGGGAGCGAAACAGGAUU